rnacentral:rRNA from 1 species
UAGGGAAUCUUCCACAAUGGACGCAAGUCUGAUGGAGCAACGCCGCGUGAGUGAAGAAGGUCUUCGGAUCGUAAAGCUCUGUUGUUGGUGAAGAAGGAUAGAGGCAGUAACUGGUCUUUAUUUGACGGUAAUCAACCAGAAAGUCACGGCUAACUACGUGCCAGCAGCCGCGGUAAUACGUAGGUGGCAAGCGUUGUCCGGAUUUAUUGGGCGUAAAGCGAGCGCAGGCGGAAUGAUAAGUCUGAUGUGAAAGCCCACGGCUCAACCGUGGAACUGCAUCGGAAACUGUCAUUCUUGAGUGCAGAAGAGGAGAGUGGAACUCCAUGUGUAGCGGUGGAAUGCGUAGAUAUAUGGAAGAACACCAGUGGCGAAGGCGGCUCUCUGGUCUGCAACCGACGCUGAGGCUCGAAAGCAUGGGU